CAGAGCCCACAUCCACUAGCCAGUCUGCCCUCCCAUCGGUGGACCUCGACAUCACUGAGCCACGCCUCCCCAUCCAGCUCCCUCUGUGUGACCUCCCAGGUGGGAGGCGCUCUUCUUGAAGAUUUCAAAGUCCUCUUCCUCCACACUCUGAGAUGCGUCCAGCAGCACGUAGAGGUUCAGAUCCCGUCAGCACCAGAUUCGAGGCGCAGCGGUAGCUGACCUUGUCCCCAAGGCCGAAGCGAGACCCCG